UGGGGAAUUUUGGACAAUGGGCGAAAGCCUGAUCCAGCAAUGCCGCGUGUGUGAAGAAGGCCUUCGGGUUGUAAAGCACUUUUGUCCGGAAAGAAAUCCUUGGCUCUAAUACAGUCGGGGGAUGACGGUACCGGAAGAAUAAGCACCGGCUAACUACGUGCCAGCAGCCGCGGUAAUACGUAGGGUGCAAGCGUUAAUCGGAAUUACUGGGCGUAAAGCGUGCGCAGGCGGUUUGCUAAGACCGAUGUGAAAUCCCCGGGCUCAACCUGGGAACUGCAUUGGUGACUGGCAGGCUAGAGUAUGGCAGAGGGAGGUAGAAUUCCACGUGUAGCAGUGAAAUGCGUAGAGAUGUGGAGGAAUACCGAUGGCGAAGGCAGCCCCCUGGGCCAAUACUGACGCUCAUGCACGAAAGCGUGGGGAGCAAACAGGAUUAGAUACCCUGGUAGUCCACGCCCUAAACGAUGUCAACUAGUUGUUGGGGACUUCAUUUUCCUUAGUAACGUAGCUAACGCGUGAAGUUGACCGCCUGGGGAGUACGGUCGC
rnacentral:rRNA from 1 species